UUAAAUUAUUUUUUUUUUAACAAUGCAUGAAAUGAAAUGAAAUGUAUGCACUCACUACUGUAAUAAGAGCGUCUGCUAAAUGACUAAAAAUGAAGAAAAAAAAAGGCUAAAAAAUGGUACCAGGGAAAGGUUCCUGACCUGCCUCUCCCUGUGUGUGUGUGUGUGUGUGUGUGUGUGUGUGUGUGUGUGUGUGUGUGUGUGUGUGUGUGUGUGUGUGUGUGUGUGUGUGUGUGUUCCCCAGACGAGGCCCAGUGAAGCCUGAUGUGCUGUCCAUCCAGUGGUCAGGGAGAAGAUCCAACCGAAGGCUUCAAAGAAAUAACAGUCUGUCUCCCAACAACCCGCUUCUCAGCCUGGUCAACUCAGGUCUGUAUGAGGAGGACAACCAAUGGAUGACUCAGGUCAACAGACUCCAGAAGCUUAUUGACCGGCUAGAGAAAAAGGAGGUUCGUAUGGAGCCAGUUGAAGAGGAGGUGUUGGAAGGAAUCACCAAAUCAGUAACUUAUCUACUAUUAGCAUUAGCUCUCCCUUCUAUCUGUCUGUCACCCUGUUCGUUCUGUCGCCCUGUUCGUUCAGUCACCCUGUUCGUUCAGUCACCCUGUUCGUUCUGUCGCCCUGUUCGUUCUGUCACCCUGUUCGUUCUGUCACCCUGUUCGUUCUGUCGCCCUGUUCGUUCAGUCACCCUGUUCGUUCAGUCACCCUGUUCGUUCAGUCACCCUGUUCGUUCUGUCGCCCUGUUCGUUCAGUCACCCUGUUCGUUCAGUCACCCUGUUCGUUCUGUCACCCUGUUCGUUCUGUCGCCCUGUUCGUUCAGUCACCCUGUUCGUUCAGUCACCCUGUUCGUUCUGUCACCCUGUUCGUUCAGUCGCCCUGUUCGUUCUGUCGCCCUGUUCGUUCUGUCGCCCUGUUCGUUCUGUCACCCUGUUCUGUCCGUCACCCUGUUCGUUCUGUCACCCUGUUCGUUCAGUCACCCUGUUCGUUCUGUCACCCUGUCCAUUCUGUCACCGUAUUCGUUCUGUCACCCUGUUCUGUCCGUCACCCUGUUCAGUCUGGUCCGUCUGGUCCGUCUGGUCCGGUCUGUCUGGUCUGGUCCGUCUGGUCCGUCUGGUCCGUCUGGUCCGGUCUGUCUGGUCUGGUCCGUCUGGUCUGUCUGGUCCGUCUGGUCUGGUCCGUCUGGUCUGUCUGGUCCGUCUGGUCUGGUCCGUCUGGUCUGUCUGGUCUGUCUGGUCCGUCUGGUCUGGUCUGUCUGGUCUGGUCUGUCUGGUCCAUCUGGUCUGGUCCAUCUGGUCUGGUCUGUCUGGUCUGGUCCGUCUGGUCUGGUCCGUCUGGUCUGGUCUGUCUGGUCUGGUCUGUCUGGUCCAUCUGGUCUGGUCUGUCUGGUCUGUUUGUUGUCAUGGCAGAAGAGAAGACCUGGAACAUUCAGAAUCAGCUGCAGAUGGUUGUCAAGGAAACAGUGGGUCUGA
rnacentral:lncRNA from 1 species